rnacentral:rRNA from 1 species
GCGUCGAGCGGCGGACGGGUGAGUAAUGCCUAGGAAAUUGCCCUGAUGUGGGGGAUAACCAUUGGAAACGAUGGCUAAUACCGCAUAACGCCUACGGGCCAAAGAGGGGGACCUUCGGGCCUCUCGCGUCAGGAUAUGCCUAGGUGGGAUUAGCUAGUUGGUGAGGUAAGGGCUCACCAAGGCGACGAUCCCUAGCUGGUCUGAGAGGAUGAUCAGCCACACUGGAACUGAGACACGGUCCAGACUCCUACGGGAGGCAGCAGUGGGGAAUAUUGCACAAUGGGCGCAAGCCUGAUGCAGCCAUGCCGCGUGUGUGAAGAAGGCCUUCGGGUUGUAAAGCACUUUCAGUCGUGAGGAAGGCAGUGUAGUUAAUAGCGGCAUUGUUUGACGUUAGCGACAGAAGAAGCACCGGCUAACUCCGUGCCAGCAGCCGCGGUAAUACGGAGGGUGCGAGCGUUAAUCGGAAUUACUGGGCGUAAAGCGCAUGCAGGUGGUUUGUUAAGUCAGAUGUGAAAGCCCGGGGCUCAACCUCGGAAUAGCAUUUGAAACUGGCAGACUAGAGUACUGUAGAGGGGGGUAGAAUUUCAGGUGUAGCGGUGAAAUGCGUAGAGAUCUGAAGGAAUACCGGUGGCGAAGGCGGCCCCCUGGACAGAUACUGACACUCAGAUGCGAAAGCGUGGGGAGCAAACAGGAUUAGAUACCCUGGUAGUCCACGCCGUAAACGAUGUCUACUUGGAGGUUGUGGCCUUGAGCCGUGGCUUUCGGAGCUAACGCGUUAAGUAGACCGCCUGGGGAGUACGGUCGCAAGAUUAAAACUCAAAUGAAUUGACGGGGGCCCGCACAAGCGGUGGAGCAUGUGGUUUAAUUCGAUGCAACGCGAAGAACCUUACCUACUCUUGACAUCCAGAGAACUUUUCAGAGAUGGAUUGGUGCCUUCGGGAACUCUGAGACAGGUGCUGCAUGGCUGUCGUCAGCUCGUGUUGUGAAAUGUUGGGUUAAGUCCCGCAACGAGCGCAACCCUUAUCCUUGUUUGCCAGCGAGUAAUGUCGGGAACUCCAGGGAGACUGCCGGUGAUAAACCGGAGGAAGGUGGGGACGACGUCAAGUCAUCAUGGCCCUUACGAGUAGGGCUACACACGUGCUACAAUGGCGCAUACAGAGGGCAGCCAACUUGCGAAAGUGAGCGAAUCCCAAAAAGUGCGUCGUAGUCCGGAUUGGAGUCUGCAACUCGACUCCAUGAAGUCGGAAUCGCUAGUAAUCGUGGAUCAGAAUGCCACGGUGAAUACGUUCCCGGGCCUU